rnacentral:rRNA from 1 species
AACGAACGCUGGCGGCAGGCCUAACACAUGCAAGUCGAGCGAGGACUUCGGUCCUAGCGGCGGACGGGUGAGUAACGCGUGGGAACGUGCCCUUUGCUUCGGAAUAGCCCUGGGAAACUGGGAGUAAUACCGGAUGAGCCCUUUGGGGGAAAGAUUUAUCGGCGAAGGAUCGGCCCGCGUUGGAUUAGGUAGUUGGUGGGGUAAUGGCCUACCAAGCCGACGAUCCAUAGCUGGUUUGAGAGGAUGAUCAGCCACACUGGGACUGAGACACGGCCCAGACUCCCACGGGAGGCAGAAGGGGGGAAUCUUAGACAAGGGGGGAAACCCUGAUUUAGCCAGGCCGGGUGAGGGAUGAAGGCCUUAGGGUUGUAAAGCUCUUUCAGCUGGGAAGAUAAUGACGGUACCAGCAAAAGAAGCCCCGGCUAACUCCGU